CUGUUGUACUCAAAAAGGCAAAUGUUUAAUAACAUGAAAUGAGGGUAAACUGUUUAUGUUCUGGUCGCGCUCUUGAGUUCAAAAAAGACCAUUGGACGGGUAGGUCGUGCGUCGGUUGCGUAGUAAAAUCUCGGGAAAGCCGUUGAUGAUUCGUCGUUGCGUCGCGCGUGUUUCUGUGUUUGUGCGUGUUUUUGGAUUAACAAAUUAACAAGAUCUAAAAAAUCCAAUAACAUGAAUAUGCGGCGGCUAUUUUAGCGAUUCGUGGCUGGCGAUUAAACCAAUAAAUAAUACACAAAAUCGCAACAGCCGAACGUGUGUGUGAGUGCCAAUUGCAAGACAAAAUGGCUGCAUUUCAACGCAUUUAAUGCGCGCACAAAAACAACAACAUAAGAGAACAACAUACACAAAGCAUAAGCAAACAUCUCUGCUACAAUAACCGCAAAAACAUCUCCAACAACAAUAACAGCAACAACUUUGUUAAAAAUUUUAAAACUGUAAAUUUCGUUUCGAACGCGUUGCGGUGAUUUUUUUCUUCUCGGUUUUUCGUUUUCUUUUCCAUUGAUUUUUACGGGAAAAAAUUAAAAAAGAGGAGGAAUAUAUAAUAAUAGUAGCGAAAAAGUGAAAAGUGAUGUAUAAAAAUCAUAAAUCAUUAUAUAUAAAAUUGUUACAGUGUACGUGACGGGUGUUCAAAUAAGAUCGCAUUAAAUAAAGAAUCAUAAAACCCAAAAAAAAAAGGAGAAAAAAAAAGUAAUAAUAAUAGUAAACAAAAGUUCGUGAGUGCUAAAAGUGGUGUAAAAUUUGAUGGUGCUCUUAUAUGUGUGCGUGUGUGGAUAUGUGUGAAAAUAGUAAAUUUUAAAUGGAAAUCAAGUUAAAGUGGAAAUUUGUUGCAGUUAGGUGAGAUUCGAU